GACGAACGCUGGCGGCGUGCUUAACACAUGCAAGUCGAACGGAAAGGCCCUGCUUUUGUGGGGUGCUCGAGUGGCGAACGGGUGGGUAACACGUGAGUAACCUGCCCUUGACUUUGGGAUAACUUCAGGAAACUGGGGCUAAUACCGGAUAGGAGCUCCUGCUGCAUGGUGGGGGUUGGAAAGUUUCGGCGGUUGGGGAUGGACUCGCGGCUUAUCAGCUUGUUGGUGGGGUAGUGGCUUACCAAGGCUUUGACGGGUAGCCGGCCUGAGAGGGUGACCGGCCACAUUGGGACUGAGAUACGGCCCAGACUCCUACGGGAGGAAGCAGUGGGGAAUAUUGCACAAUGGGCGGAAGCCUGAUGCAGCAACGCCGCGUGCGGGAUGACGGCCUUCGGGUUGUAAACCGCGUUCGCCUGUGACGAAGCGUGAGUGACGGUAAUGGGUAAAGAAGCACCGGCUAACUACGUG
rnacentral:rRNA from 1 species